ACGGAAACAACAAAACCAGAUAUAAAAUAAAACCCAAAAGGGAAUUGUAGGGUCUAG
rnacentral:misc_RNA from 1 species